rnacentral:misc_RNA from 1 species
GAUGAAGAACGUAGUGAAAUGCGAUAAGUAGUGUGAAUUGCAGAAUUCAGUGAAUCAUCGAAUCUUUGAACGCACAUUGCGCCCCUCGGUAUUCCGUGGGGCAUGCCUGUUCGAGCGUCAUCUACACCCUCAAGCUCUGCUUGGUGUUGGGCGUCUGUCCCGCCUCUGCGCGCGGACUCGCCCCAAAUUCAUUGGCAGCGGUCUUUGCCUCCUCUCGCGCAGCACAAUUGCGUCUGCGAGGGGGCGUGGCCCGCAUCCACGAAGCAACAUUACCGUCUUUGACCUCGGAUCAGGUAGGGAUACCCGCUGAACUUAAGCAUAUCAAUAAGCGGAGGA